GAUGAACGCUGGCGGCGUGCCUAAUACAUGCAAGUCGAGCGAACGGACGAGAAGCUUGCUUUUCUGAUGUUAGCGGCGGACGGGUGAGUAAAACGUGGAUAACCUACCUAUAAGACUGGGAUAACUUCGGGAAUCCGGAGCUAAUACCGGAUAAUAUUUUGAAUCGCAUGGUUCAAAAGUGAAAGACGGUCUUGCUGUCACUUAUAGAUGGAUCCGCGCUGCAUUAGCUAGUUGGUAAGGUAACGGCUUACCAAGGCAACGAUGCAUAGCCGACCUGAGAGGGGGAUCGGCCAAACUGGAACUGGGACACGCUCCAGACUCCUACGGGAGGCAGCAUUAGGGAAUCUUCCGCAAUGGGCGAAAGCCUGACGGAGCAACGCCGCGUGAGUGAUGAAGGUCUUCGGAUCGUAAAACUCUGUUAUUAGGGAAGAACAUAUGUGUAAGUAACUGUGCACAUCUUGACGGUACCUAACCAGAAAGCCACGGCUAACUACGUG
rnacentral:rRNA from 1 species